UGCCUCAGCCUCUCUGGUGCAACAAUUUCC
rnacentral:piRNA from 1 species